UCCAGACUCCUACGGGAGGCAGCAGUGGGGGAUAUUGCACAAUGGGGGGAACCCUGAUGCAGCGACGCCGCGUGGGUGAAGGAGCGUUUCGGCGCGUAAAGCCCUAUCGGCAGGGAAGAAGGAGGACGGUACCUGACUAAGAAGCCCCGGCUAACUACGCGCCAGCAGCCGCGGUAAUACGUAGGGGGCAAGCGUUAUCCGGAUUUACUGGGUGUAAAGGGGGCGCAGACGGCGAUGCAAGCCAGGAGUGAAAGCCCGGGGCCCAACCCCGGGACUGCUCUUGGAACUGCGUGGCUGGAGUGCAGGAGGGGCAGGCGGAAUUCCUGGUGUAGCGGUGAAAUGCGUAGAUAUCAGGAGGAACACCGGUGGCGAAGGCGGCCUGCUGGACUGCAACUGACGUUGAGGCCCGAAAGCGUGGGGAGCAAACAGGAUUAGAUACCCGAGUAACA
rnacentral:rRNA from 1 species